rnacentral:rRNA from 1 species
AAUUAYUGGGCKUAAAGGGCGCKUAGGCGGGUCGUUAAGUUGGGGGUGAAASCCCGGGGYUMAACYUSGRAAAUUGCCUUCAAUACUGGCGACCUUGAGUAUGGGAGAGGUGAGUGGAACUCCGAGUGUAGCAGGUGAAAUUCGUAGAUAUUCGGAAGAACACCARUGGCGAAGGCGACUCACUGGCCCAUUACUGACGCUGAGGCGCGAAAGCGUGGGGAGCAAACAGGAUUAGAUACCCUGGUAGUCCACGCCGUAAACGAUGAGUGCUAGUUGUCGGCAUGCWUGCAUGUCGGUGACGCAGCUWACGCAUUAAGCAC